AAAAAUUUUUUCGAAUUAAUUAAUAAUUUAAGCAAAUCUAAUAUGUUGGUGUAUAUAUUAAAAAAAAUAGAGGUCAGUUAUAAAAUAAUAUAAAAAGUAUCAACGAGUCGAUAAGUCGAACCACGGAAAUCUCACUCUCUUUAAGAAAAUUCAAGUUCUCUGCGAUUGACAAAACUUUUAAACCGAUGCAACAGAAUAAUGAUUUGUCCAAUACAACGGCUCGACCUUCGUCGUAUAGUUUUACCAACUUUGUACAAGUGAACGAGCCAAAAACUCCAUCAAAUGAAACAACUUUCUUUAGCCGCUCUCUCUCUCUCAAAUAGAAUAGAAUUUUCUUUUUAUUUUUCUUUGUUGUACUUUUUGUUGGAUUUUAUCCAAUAAUAAAUUUUGAUGAUAACAAAUAAAUUUUAGAUUUAAUUUGUCAUUUAGCAAUUUUAGGUUGUAUUUAAAUUUAAAGUGGCUCAAACUAAACCGGAAUUGAUCAAAGAUAACCAUUCAAUCAAAUUGUUUAAAUUGACCUAGACAAAAUCAAAUUGUACCAAAUUGGAUGCAAAUACCGCAACAGUAAGUUGGAGGACUUCUUUACAAUUUAUUGGAUUUGAGCAGGUCAACCUAGUCUAGUUAACCAAUUCAUUGUUUGGGUUUGAUUUGAGCUUAACGUCAAAUUACUCAUUAUUUUUAAUAUGGUAUGAAAAAGAUUUGAUAUAUGGUAUAAAUUCAAAAAUAAUUCUAUUAUGACAUGAAUUUAAAAAAAUAUAAUAUAUGAUAUAAAUCAGUUUUACCAGUAUGGUAUUAUUUCAAAAGCUUUUACAAAUAUGAGAUGAAUUCAAAAAGUUUUACAGUUGUAAUAUUAAUUUAAAAGGUUUUACAAAUUCGAUAUAAUUUCAAAUGAACCUUUUAAUAUAGUAAUAUUUCAAAUGUGUUUUGCAAAUGUGGUAUAAAAUCAAAUUUAUUUUGAAAUUAAUUCAAAUGCAUUAGCAAGUACGGUUAAAAUUCAAAUUAAAAUCAAUUAUAAUUUAAUCAUACUUUUGUUCUAUUUUUGAAAUGAUGGCUACAGUAUUUAAAGAGGGGUUUAGAUGUUGUUUGUGAGAUAGCUUUAGAAAAUUUUUUAUUUUGUAAUGGUGAGCUUUAUUGAGAGGUAGUAAAAAAAUUAUGUGUGAUUAUAAGCGGCUUUCGUCUUACCCUAUUUAAAAGGCCAAGUGAUAGUGAUCAAAUCAGUACCUCAAGGAGAAGAAUAAGCAGAUUGGAGCAGGCGGAAGGCCAAAUCAGAAUAAAUCAUCUGUGUUUUUUGAGUUUGAUUUUCUUUUCUUAUUUGCUUGUGCAAUUUUAUCUUGAUUUAAUUUUACUUGAGUUUUAGUUGUCAACUAAUUCACCCUUCCUCUUAGUUGUCAUUUGAUCCUU
rnacentral:lncRNA from 1 species